GUUCACCCACUAACAGGGAACGUGAGCUGGGUUAGACCGUCGUGAGACAGGUUAGUUUUACCCUACUGAUGAACCGAUGUUGCGACAGUAAUUCAACUUAGUACGAGAGGAACCGUUGAAUCAGAUAAUUGGUAAAUACGGUUGCCUGAAAAGACAAUGCCGUGAAGCUACCAUCUGUAGGAUUAUGACUGAACGCCUCUAAGUCAGAAUCCAUGCUGGAAAGCAACGUCUAAUCAAUAAUAAACGAAAAACAUUAAGUCUUCGGACUGAAGUUCACACCAUGGGCGAAACGGAUUACCGAAACAGGAAAAUCUAUACCGCUCGAAUCGUAAUUUCGAAUUAUUUAUUGACACAAAUCUUUUGUAGACGAC
rnacentral:rRNA from 1 species